rnacentral:rRNA from 1 species
CAGCAGCCACGGGAAUACCAGCACCUCGAGUGGUCAGGAGGUUUAUUGGGCCUAAAGCAUCCGUAGCCGGUUGCAUAAGUUUUCGGUUAAAUCUAUGCGCUUAACGUAUAGGCCGCCGAAAAUACUGUGCAGCUAGGGAGUGGGAGAGGUACACGGUACUCGAUAGGAAGGGGUAAAAUCCUUUGAUCUAUUGAUGACCACCUGUGGCGAAGGCGGUGUACCAGAACACGUUCGACGGUGAGGGAUGAAAGCUGGGGGAGCAAACCGGAUUAGAUACCCCAGUAGUCCCUGUCUCUUAUAC